AAUGCCGUGGCAAAGAAGGCGGGCAAGGUGCUGGACUGCUGGCGUAUAAAUUCUCUCGGAGGUCAGAACUCAGACAGUCAGAACUUAGAAGUAAUCAACAGUGAGUGAUAGGAUGUCAUUCAGAAGAUUGCAUCACAGACAGGUUGCAUGAAUCUUGUGGUGGAAACCACGAAUUCAAAUGGAGGAAUGUCGUUGGUGGUGAUUUUGGGGUGUUGGACUGUCUACCAUAUGUGGAGUGAAGGGAUUUAUUACUUUAGGUUGUCUUCCAUGAUGGGGGACUCUAGGGACCUGGUUCGUGCGUGAUGUCUGCUUACCUUUUACACUUACUUCACAAUCCCUUGGGUUGUUGUGUAGUCUUAUCGCAUAGACUGGUCUCGUUCUGGGAUUUUGCGGUUUUAAGGGAUUGGAACCUUUUCUGGCUCAUCGAUUUGUUUCCUGUGAGUCCGAAAUUUGUCCUGCUUCCAGCGAUUGUUUUUCGCAUCCGAGAAGUUAGGGCGAGAGUGUUACCUGGAACCCUAUUGGUAUUCGGCUGACGAGCCAAAAAUUAUGAGCCGUUUCCCAUCCUGGUGGAAUCCUGGAUAAGGUGGUGAAGGCAAUAUCGAGUACGCAGCCCGUCCCAUCCCGGUUGUGCUAAUCCCUGAUAAGUCUUUGUUGUGUGCAGACGGAUCGAAGGUUCGGAAUGGGAUGUAAUAUCCGCCGAAUUUGAGAAUGGAGCAACUCGUCCACUUAUUAAUUGUUCGAAUCCGUUGCAAGAAAAUAUAUCUUUGUCGAUUGUUCUUUUGUCUUUAUUUGUGUUUCAAUAAAGAUAAAUGAUUACAUUU